rnacentral:rRNA from 1 species
UACGGAAGGUCCGGGCGUUAUCCGGAUUUAUUGGGUUUAAAGGGAGUGUAGGCCGGAGAUUAAGCGUGUUGUGAAAUGUAGACGCUCAACGUCUGCACUGCAGCGCGAACUGGUUUCCUUGAGUACGCACAAAGUGGGCGGAAUUCGUGGUGUAGCGGUGAAAUGCUUAGAUAUCACGAAGAACUCCGAUUGCGAAGGCAGCUCACUGGAGCGCAACUGACGCUGAAGCUCGAAAGUGCGGGUAUCGAACAGG